ensembl:snoRNA
UGUUGGGAGAUAAUGAUGGAAUUAAGCACAUAUCUCAAUACUAAAUGUAGAGAAAACUUUGUCUGAAUCUCCCAUCC